ACAGAAAGGACCUAGAAUAGUCAAAACCACAGAGAAGGAUCUGACUGUGUGGCUCUGGAUGCUGCCUUGCCCUCCCGAGUGCUGGAAUGGCAGUGCUUUGAUACCAUGCCCAGCUACCAGUUCUUGUGAUUCUUAUGAUACCUCAUCAGGGUGGAGUUUGGUAGCUUUGGAAGCCUGUUCCAAGAGAGAAAACCAGCCCGUAUGCUUAUAGACUUAAAAACCCUGGUGUGAAGGCAGCAGAAUCAGUAACUCUCCACUGGCAACAAAGCUGGAGCUGUGUCCUUGCAGGAGGAGAGCGUUGGCUGGGAAGAAGCUGAACGCCCAUCCUCUUUAAUGUUAGGAAGCUCUGAGAAGCUCUGAGAAGAAGAGUCUUGGCCCAGAGCGUCAUAAUGAAGUUGCUUUGGCGAGCUUCCUUUUUAAGACCUUUGGCUGUGGGUGAGCUAUGUGACCUGGGAAAUGUAAGGCAAGCUGUUGUUGCAGAUGUAGCCCAGACACAGGGCACACAAAGCCGCUGAGCUUUUGUCCUUUCAGAAACUGCAACUCUAUGAUCCAACAAAAGCAGCUUUUAAGUUUAAGUCAUCUGACAGUUUAUGUGAGGUGACAAUAAGUUAAUUUAAUAGAUGUUUAUUUUCCUCAUUUUAGAGAUGUCAUUAAUUCUAGCUUAUGUUCGAAUUCAAUAUAAUAUUUGUGCAAAACACAAAUGAAUUGUAUAUACAGUUUGUGACAGUUAGUUUUAAUUGUCAACUUGACAUAACCCAGGAUCACAUGGGAAAGGAAUCUCAGUGAGGGAUGGUCUACAUCAGAUUGGCCUGUGGGCACAUCUAAGUGGGAUUGUCUUGAUUGCCUGUGUUUAUGUGAAAAUCCAGGCCAGCAUAAAUAGCACUGCUCCCGAGACAAGAGGUCAUGCAUAUGGAGCCAAGCACAGGCAAGCAAGCAAGCAAGCAAGCAAGCAAGCAAGCAAGCAAGCAAGCAAGCAUUCAUCUCUCUUCUUGACCAUGGUUGCAAUGUGAUAGACUAUAACCUGGAAGCAUAAGCCAGGGAGAUCCUUUUUCCCCUACUUUAAUUUUUGUCAGGAUAUGCUUAUCACAGCAACAGAAAUUGAACUAUAUUAGC
rnacentral:lncRNA from 1 species